rnacentral:lncRNA from 1 species
UUUUUUUUUUACCAAACUUAUGAUAACCUGUGACCAUGACCUUAUUGAUCAAAUUAUAAUGAACUCAACCAGUAUAAAAGAUUCUCUUAGAAUCAGGAAUGCUCCUAAGGGCUUUUCUCUUUGAAACCAUUAUCUUACAAGUUAAAAAUAAGAAUGUCUGAUAGGUCAAUUUUUUAAAACAUACAUAGUCUUGUUUCUCUAUAAUCUCAUGAUACUUCCCACCUCUGGGUCUGAGGAGUUUGGCUUCCUCCCUCUUUCCUGGCUCAUUUUUAAAUGACUUUAAGCUCACCAAGGGCAAGAUUUCUCCAGGAAGUUUUCCCUGAUCUCUGUCCCAGGAGGCCGAGGGGCCUACCUCUGCAUUCCCACAGCAUCCUGAGCUUGUUUUUAUCAUUGUACUUAUAUUUGUUAUGAUUGAGAUGGGCUAUUUACUUGAAUGUUUCCUGCUUCAUUGUGAGACUCCAAAGGAUGGCAACAGUGUCCUCAUCAUCUUCAUAUCCUGUGCACAAUGUCAGAUGGUGAAAAUAUUCAUUGAACUGCAAUGGGAGCAGAAUCAGGACAUUCUGGUAUGCUGCUUUUCUCCAAAGAACACAUUUGGAUAAGUGAUUUAAAAAAAUUAAAAGUAUCAAAAACAACAGCAACAACAGCAACACCCAUUGUGAUGCCAGAUAGAUAAAGCCAGUAAAAAUCAUGGUUACUUCUCCUUUAUCUAUUUCACUUUCUUAUUGUUCUCUCUCUCUCUCAUCGAUCCAUCCAUUAUCUGUCUAUCUGUCUAUCUAUCUAUCUAUC